AUGUCGGUAGUACAACGGUUGAGCACGCGCCUCUGGGUAGGGUGAAAUGUGGGUUUGAAUCCCAGCUGACGCA